UACCACAAUUAAAACAAGAUCCUCUUCCUCUACUCUUCUUAUUCUCUUCUUGUUUAGAAUCUGUGGAUUGUCUUCGAAACUUCAUGAGGUUUUUGUCGGAAUACUUUACUCCAUUCUUUCGAAUGAAUCUGUUAUACCUCCUUACAAACAGUCCCAUUUCCUCAUCAUCUGAAUCUUUGUCACUACUUGUAUCAUUGUCACUUUUCUCUUUUCGUGAGGACUUAGAGCUAGAGGCCACAAGAGCU
rnacentral:lncRNA from 1 species